AAGGUAGCGUAAUCAAUAGCCUAUUAAUUGUUGGCCUGUAUGAAUGGUACGACGCUGGUGGUGCUGUCUCAGUUGCAUUUAUUUGAACUUAACUUCCGGGUGAAAAGGCCCAGAUAAAUCUGAAAGACGAUUAGACCCUAUCGAACUUUAGGUAGAUCAGCUGUCAAGACACCCAGUAAGGGUAGAGCCUGCCUGCUGCUUAAACCUUUGGUUGGGGUAACCGGGGGUUAAAAAAACCGCCCCCCUCCUUUGAAAGUAGACACCCGCAUGAUGAAGGUAGUAGAGAUUUUACCUCCAGGGCAAUUGGCCUUCAGGAAAGUACCACCUUUUAUAAAAUUAGGAAAGUCUGACAAGACGUAACUUACUUAUAGAAUGAACCUAAAGAACUGUUUGCUAUCAGUCAACUGUUUGCUAUCAGUCAACUGUUAAUAGGGAAGAGUUACCGUAGGGAUAACAGCGUAAUCCUCCCGGCGAGACCACAUUAAGG
rnacentral:rRNA from 1 species